UUGAUCCUGGCUCAGAAUCAACGCUGGCGGCGUGCCUAACACAUGCAAGUCGAACGCGAAAGUCCCGCAAGGGAUUAGUAGAGUGGCAAACGGGUGAGUUACACGUGGGUGACCUGCCUUCGAGUGGGGGAUAACGUCCCGAAAGGGACUCUAAUACCGCAUAACAUCCUGCUUUUUAAGAGGUGGAGAUCAAAGCCGGUGAUCGCAAGACCUGGCGCUUGAAGAGGGGCCCGCGUCCGAUUAGCUAGUUGGUGGGGUAAUGGCUCACCAAGGCUCCGAUCGGUAUCCGGCCUGAGAGGUCGGACGGACACACUGGGACUGAGACACGGCCCAGACUCCUACGGGAGGCUGCAGUGGGGAAUUGUUCGCAAUGGGCGCAAGCCUGACGACGCAACGCCGUGUGGAGGAUGAAGACCUUCGGGUCGUAAACUCCUUUCGAUCGAGACGAAUGGCCUCUGGGUUAAUAGCCUGGAGGAGUGACGGUACCGAGAGAAGAAGCUCCGGCUAACUCCGUGCCAGCAGCCGCGGUAAUAAGGU
rnacentral:rRNA from 1 species